rnacentral:rRNA from 1 species
CGGGGUGAGUAACACGUGGGUAACCUGCCCGGAAGUGGGGAAUACCUCGGGGAAACUCGAGCUAAUACCGCAUAACAUCUUUAGGACGAUGGUCCUGACGAUCAAAGCGGGGUCGCAAGAUCUCGCGCUACCGGAUGGGCCCGCGCCUGAUUAGCUAGUUGGUGGGGUAACGGCUCACCAAGGCUUCGAUCAGUAACCGGCCUGAGAGGGCGAUCGGUCACACCGGAACUGAGACACGGUCCGG